CGAAGCCGUUUGCGAGAUCGGGCUCCCAUUCGUGGAGUUGGGGUGGUUGCGUGGGGAGGCACUGCUUAUUUGUGCGAUACUCGAUAACGCCAUCGUCAGUUUCUCCAAGAAUCUGCAGCGUCCCCAGGCAUGGGACUCCUCUUCAUGGAAUGGUCCCUUUUGGGGCUAUUUUCCCUACUGAGCCUUGGCUCAGCUGAGAUGACUCGACAGGGUCCAGUGUUCGUGCUGGAACCGCCCAACACUAUCGACUUCAGCAACUCGACCGGCACGGUGGUGGAAUGCGCGGCGCGCGGCUUCCCUCAGCCGCGCGUCGUCUGGGUGCGCGGCGACGGCCAGCAGGUGGACGACGUGCCCGGACUGCG